UGCCAUUGGACUUAUCAUCUCUGGUUCUUCAAUUUCUAAUCUUGAACUUUUCAUGCUCUCUGAGGAUAUGUUGUAUUUGGUAUCCCUCUCAUGAACCAGGUCUGGUCUCACUAACCCAGGACUCACAGCUUGUGGAGACAUCAUUAGGGAUGGUGCACCCAAAGGAAGCUUGUCCCCUAUAUUUUCAAUUUUCACUAAUGGGUUUAUAUAUGUUUUCAUAAUCAAAAUUCUAUACACUAUUUUCACAUGGUAAAAGAUUACCAUAACAAAUGUGUGCAAUGUAAAUGCUUCUAAAAAAAUAUUCAUGUAUCCAGUGGAUAUAUAAAUAUCAGUCAUUAGAUUAUAAUCACUGGUACAUUGUAUUUUUUAUACAUACUGUCAGAUUUGGACCAGACCAUGCUGUCCAAUCGGUCUGAUUAUUAACUGGACUUGAAAAUGACUAUGGUUUAAAAUUUUAAUUAAAUGAGAGGUUUGACUUCUUUGAAGUAGAGAAAUUUUGGUCCGACCAUGUUAAACUCGGUUAAACUAGAAUAUUUCAAAAAGUGAACUGGGCGACUCACUUAAGAGUAUGAUAAAAAACUCAUAAAUGACUAAAUUGAUCAAUAUUUGUCUUGGACGAAUUCAAAUAUUUUAGUUUUUGAAAGACCAAAUUAAUAAAUGGGAGAACUAAUAUUAUUUGUGUCAAGUUAAUACACAAUUUAAGGUACUUUUGACGUGUGCAACCAAUUAUAACAAGAAAUAUUAGGCAAAUACAUGUUUGUAUGAAAAUAUAAACA
rnacentral:lncRNA from 1 species